AAUGAACGCUGGCGGCGCGCCUAAUACAUGCAAGUCGAGCGAGAAGACGUAGCAAUACGUUUGUAAAGCGGCGAACGGGUGAGGAAUACAUGGGUAACCUACCCUCGAGUGGGGAAUAACUAGCCGAAAGGUUAGCUAAUACCGCGUACGCUUCUUGGGCUUCGGUUCAGGGAGGAAAGCGAUACCGUGGGUAUCGCGCUCUUGGAUGGGCUCAUGUCCUAUCAGCUUGUUGGUGAGGUAACGGCUCACCAAGGCUUCGACGGGUAGCUGGUCUGAGAGGACGAUCAGCCACACUGGCACUGCGACACGGGCCAGACUCCUACGGGAGGCAGCAGUAAGGAAUAUUGCGCAAUGGGCGAAAGCCUGACGCAGCGACGCCGCGUGGGGGGAUGAAGGUCUUCGGAUUGUAAACCCCUUU
rnacentral:rRNA from 1 species